GUGUUGGUGGAGAAGUACAGCUGCUAAACGGACAAGUGCGAUAAGCGUUCUUGGGCCGGAUGCACCUCGAGAAGAUGGGUAAAAACACCAGGAGCCAUGCAUCUAUAAAGGAAACCAAACAGGAAAUGUGAUUGUGAAUCAUCUGAAGGCAGACCAUACAGAGAGGGGCCGUGCGGCUUAGUCAGAGAUGAAGACAUUCUACUGGACAGUGUUGCUGCAGAGGCAUCCAGCAAUGGCAUGGACUAUAUUCUGAACUAAUGAGCUCCCUCGGGGAAGUGGCUUGCUGACCUGGAAUGCCCUAAAACUCCCAGGAGCUGAAAUCCAAUGAGACAACAUGGAGGAUGCAUUUUAUGUGUGGUUUGCAAAGAAAGGGGACAAUACAGCACUCUAAGCAGCAAAUCCGUAUUCAAAGAAAAGGUAUUGGCCAGAUAAAA